CCGACAACCGGCGAGCUCCCCACUCCCAGACUCGUCGGCGACCUUCCGGCCUCCGCCUUCUACGCCACCCUUCUCUCCCUACACCCCAGAUCGAAUCCAGCAGCUCAGGACGAAACCCUAGCUCGAUGCCAUGGCCACACCAGCAGCAGUCCCUCCCUCCCUAGCCCGCGGCCAUGGCGACCUAGCAGGCAAGAGGAACCUGAACCCUAUCACCGGCCAUGGCGAGCGUGGAAGGCACCAUGGGAGAGGAGGCAUGUGCUGCUGCUCAAGACCCUAAACCAGAAAGGAAGCUCUUCCUCACCUCACCUUUUCUCUCUCCCUGAUCGAGCACCUUCGCCAUGGGAGAGGAAGGUUGUUUCAUCCGCCUGCUGUACUGCUGCUCUAGGGGACAUGCACCUGCUUGUUGUGCUGCUGCUCUGUACGCCAUGGACAUCCCUCCUCUGGUUCUCCUCGCUCGUCAAGGUAGUAAGCUGCUCUAACCCAUCUUCCCCUCUCAAAUUCGGUACAAGAAAAUGAUUUUUGUAACUGGACAUCAAAAGCAGAACCGGUGUGUGUUGUUGGUCAAGCAAGAAGAAAGAAAAAAGGCAUCCGUUGCCUGCAAAACAAAUCUGUGUGUGUGCUGCUCUCCUCCUCCUCUGUUUUUGCUUGUGUCAAUUUGCUCCAACAGCUUGCGCGCGUGUGUGCAUCCAUUGGGAGAGAGAGAGGCUCUUGCCAACACCUCUACAAUCUCACCGGAGUUCUAUUUUUCUGUGAUGUUGCCUAUUUUGUUGUUGAAAUUGACCGUAUCCCUGUGUCAAAUGGAUAUUUUUUCCUCCAUUGAAAUGAAGCAUAUUGCUUUUGAGUGCUCACAUUGACAUUACUGUGGAAUAAAAUGUUCAUUAUAUGCUCUUCUGUUGAAUAACGUGUAAAACAGGUCCAGCCAUUUGCCAAGUCUAUUAUAUUUGUUCUAAAAGAAAAGAAAAAAAAAACAGGUUCUUGCCUAUCUAUAGUAUAUGUGUUUUCAAAAAAGCUGUAUCUUUUUCUUCGAGAGAGAUGCACUUCUGUAUCAACAUUCUUUUUAAAAAGUGACACAUGUCUAUCCAAAAUUUUGAACUUCAUGGCCUCGUAUAAUUUCUUGAGUUGGUGAAAGUAAUUGCCGGAUACUGAGAGUAACCACAACAGAUAAAUAUGUCAUCAAACCACCAUGUUCUACCCCAUUUUGGAGGAACAAGAUUAAAGUCAUACCAGCAGAAUUAACUACAUGAAAGGUCCAUCCUUUUCAGGAAAAACCCACCGUGCAGCCCUACGAGCAAGUUCAUGAGCAGAAGGAUUGAGCUCAAUCAAUAAAUUUGAAUACUGGCUAGGCACACAUCCACACGGAAACCAGUACUAGAUCGAACAGUAUUGACCAUGGGUUCAGGUUGACAAUGGUCAUAAACCUCUCAUCACUUUGGUAUGUUGAUUGACCUCUUUUUUGCACUGCAUGUGCAGGUGCUAAACAUUGGUACGUGUUGGUGGGGCUCGACAAGCUCACCCAGGGAGGGCACCCCCAAGCUGAACUCCAUGGAGCCCCGCUCCAGCGUCUAGGACAGGUCUUUGUUACUGGAUCCAUUACUAGGACAUGAUUUCUUCUUUUCCUUCUCCAUUUGAGAUCAACAUUCGUUAUGUCCUUCUUGUGCAGCAGCAGCAGGAUUCCAUCGGUACACGAGAUGACAAGGGGUUCAUCGAGGUGUGUGGUGGUAGGCUCUUUCGUUGGACCCGCUGCCUGUUCGGCAUCGGCUCCAUAACAGUCAUGAACCAACUAGCCUGUCCUUCCAUUUGUGGUAUUGAUGGCCAUGGACCACGGUUCUAGUAGUCGGCAAAGCACGUAUCUACUAACUGCUCCUAUCCAGGAUGCGUGCAAAAGGUUCCCCUGGAGGUUGGGGCACACCGUGGAUGGCUUAAACCCGCCCUUCUUCAGUUACAUUCUAGAUUGUGGUGCUGAUCUCAGUCAGGAAAAGGAAGAGAACAUUAUUGUUCUUCAUCUGUCCGUGAAGAAAGGUACUAGCAACUGCUACUACAACCUAGUACAAGAACUUCCUUUUAUCACACUUGCUGCUGCUUUUUACUAGAAUUGUCACAUAUGAGUUGCCAUUUGUUAUUUUCGUUUUGUUUUGGGGGCCUGCUAUAUUAUAAAUACCAAGUUAUACCUGAGUUUUUGUCAAAGUAUUACUUGAAAGUACAAAUGAAUUUUGAAUGAGUGGAAAACUUAGUAGUAGGCUCAUUUUAUUAGUUUUCUUCAGUACGAUCAUGCCUUGUUUUCGUAUCAUUUUGUUUAUGUUGGCAGAAUUAUUGCACAUAAUUAUAGUUCACAUAUGAUGUUGCAUUCGGAAAUCGAUUUGAACUCAUUGAGAUGCUCAAGGAGUCACAAACACUCGUCUUGCAAUGCAAGCACUUGUGCUGAUGACCAUCCAUCCUUGGUACAUUUAAUUACAUGGCAAUUUCUAGGAUUCUGGGUUGCGCUGAUGGUCUCUAAUGCAAGCACUUGUGCUUCUCGUGGUGAUUAUGGUAAAAUAAUUAGUGGAUUUAGCCCUCAAUUUUAGUCCUAUGAGUUUUUGUCUUUUGCCGGGUAUUGUGUUGCAUGCGCUGGAGUGUUUCCCUUGUCGACGUGCUGGGUAAUGUGUGUGCUGGUUGCAGUUGGUCCUUGGUUGAUCUCCAUGCCAGUGGUUGGAAUGUUUUGGCUGUGUGAUAUGUGUGAUGGUUUACCAGGCUUUGUUAUAAAGAAGCCCCUUAUGGCAUGUCCUCUAAAACACUAUAACUCUGAUUCGUCUACUAGUGAUGACAUGGUUGUUUGAUUCCUAGGGUUGUUAUCAAAUUCUGGCAUGUUCUGUCCUAUGUACCCUAACAGUGCAUUCCUGAUAUCAAUCGUUCCUAUGAUCAUGUACAGUUCAUUUGGUCAUUUUCACUGUUGCUUGAUCAUCUAUUGUUGCUCGAUUGUCUAAAUCUUCUUGAUUUGGAAAGCUAGACAUGCUAUUUCCUAACUGCUAGCUCCAUAACAGAACAUGUAUUUCUUUUCACUCAUUCAUGACUCUCAUUUUAAUGGGUUUUGUCAAUGAAACAAUGCAAGAUAGGAGUGGGAUCACUGAAUUGUUUUACAUAGAUUAGAUGACCGGCCGAUUGCUAUUUUGUUGUGUGCAUGUUUACUGGACACAUACAUUACACUUUUUUUAGCUUGCUCAUUAUAGACUGGACAUUGGUCAUGUGGAAGGACUAGCAGACGGAUGGCUGCUUGCCCAUCCUAGCAAACAUGGUGAGCUUCCCCCCUCCUCCACAUCUGCAUAGCACGCACAGUUUGUAUGUUUUGGUUUUCUCGCGUGAUUUGAGAACAAAGGCGCAAGCAUGGUUCAAAGUAGACUACUCUCCUCUGCUGGUAUGGUCACUCGGUUCUGAACUUUAAAUUGUAUAUAAUCUUAAAGUGGAGUAAUCCCCUGUAUCAAAUCUGACUUCACCAUGAUUUGAGUGGAAUAAUAAGAA